AUUUUCAUCAUUCCUAAAAGAGUAAUCUUCUCGAAAGGUAAACCCUAACAUUUUCUCUCCUCUUCUACUCAACUCGAGAUCAUCCUUAUGAAUUGCUCUCUCUACGGCUCUCUUCCCUUUACAUUUUGUGACUGCAACCCAACAUUUUAAAGUGGAGUCUGACGGUGAUGGGGGUUUUGUUGUUCAAAUUUAUGGUUUUUGGUGUGAUUUGUUUUGAGCUUCAGGAUUCAUGUGUACAACAAUGAGGAUUUGAUAUUGUGCGCAUUGCCGUACCACGACACACAUGCAUUUGUUCGAAUAGUACAAAUACUUGAUAUAAGGAAUGGUACAUGGGGGUUUCUGCAGGGCACCGCCACUUAGAAUGGUUAUAGUGCAGCAAUGCCUUUGUGAUAAGGGCGUAUUAGAAGUACUAUGCAACUACGUGGGCAUCUCCAUCUAAGAAGUUUCAACCUUCGAAGAAUGUAAUUGCCUUUUGUACUGCUGUUUUCAUUGAACUUUUGGGGACUGUUGUGACGGUUGAGGAUGAUAUUGUCAAGAGAAUACUUCCUUUUGUGGUCUCUAG